UCGCGCUGGUGCCGCCGAAAAUUUUACCAACCCGAAGAAACUACUCGAAGAAUAUCAUAAUUUGAAAAUCGAAGAUGUUCAAGCAUGGGCCGCAUACAAUUGGGGAUCUAACGA
rnacentral:SRP_RNA from 1 species